AUGACACGAAAAAAAAAAAAUAAUAAUAAAGCAGUGUUCGAUGGAGUUGUGCAACUUAGUAGUAGAUUGUACAUACUAUCCCUUAGAUCAUCGUGAUGGCACGAAGUACCAGUAAAUACUAAUAAAAAUUCCAAUUCCAUUUGAAGUUGACUUUAAGCAAAUUCGAGAUUCGAAAUAAUUGAAAUUUUAAAAGCUUUCCUAAAAAAAAAAGAGAGAGAAUAUCGAUCGAACUUCGUUAUCUCUUUCGUUUAUCAUAAUUAUUUCCGUGGCGUGACGCGUGCUUGUUCUACACAAGUGGAAAUAGAUGUCUUGCUAAAACUUCCUUCUUUCUUCCUUUGUUCCUUUCGCUCGUCCAUCUUUCACGUCACUCUACCGCCACGUUUUAUUCUUAUCCCGGAUGAAACGAUAACAUAAAACAGAGAAGAAUCGAUGUUUCUUCCCAAUGUUUCUUACACAAUCCGUUCGAAUCGAUCCCUCUGUCGAUUCAACCGGAUACAUAUAUAUAUAUAAACCUUCAUAUAUAAACCUCCCUUUCAUUCCUAACCUACUGGAAAAGUUUCAUCAGCGACGAAACUCGAUGCUUUCUACCAAAAUUUAUCGGAGCGAAAUCAUCAAACUCCGCGUUCGGAUAGAAAUUUAUCCGAACGAUGUUAAAUCCUAUCCCUCCUUUUUCCGAGAAGAGCUGAAUAACUCUCUGCUGACGUUUGUAAUAUCCCCCGGAAGAAGGGGAAGAACUAAUAGGUUCUUUGACGCAAAGAAUCCCCCCUCUCUCUCUCUCUCUUUCUCUCUCUCCCCCUCUCUUUAAAACUUUAAUUAACGGGAACCGGGAGAGGAGAGAGAUACCUCGGAAUGGAUACCCGUUUAACGAUUUAUAUACUGGCAGAUACAACGGAAGGGUAUCGUUACUCUUCGUUGACAAAUCAUUGAAUCGAGGCGAACUUUCCCAAACUCCGUUAAAGCAACCGACGAACGAGGACACCAGUCAAUUGGAAACUGAUUCCUCCUAUAUACACUGGUUGCUUCUGCUCCAACCAGAAAGUAGGAUCACGUACGAUUGAUAUAUCUGUCUUGGGGAAAAGUGGCCACCUCUUUCUCCACCGAGAAAGAGAGUAAAAAAGAAACUUGGAAGAAAGAGAUGAUUCUCUCUUUAUUUGUCAUUCGAUCGAAACCGUUUACAUUAAUAUUAUUAUUAAUUUUCUAUCGAUUCCUUAAUUAUCCAGGGUGGAAGGGGAAAGAUUUGAGAAUCUUUGGAGUUUUGAGAAUAGAAAUAUAAAUCGUGCUCGUACGGUUGAUGGUAUUUAUAAAUGGGAAGAAACAGAGCGUGAAAUCGGUGGAAAGUCUGGUGGUAAUAAUUUUUGAGAGUGCGCGUACUUAUUUUUAAUCGAUUUUAUUUAUAUUCGACUUUAGCUGGCUCGACUUGUCUUGUGGGUUUAGUUACCGGUCGAAUGGGAAUUUGUAGCUUGGACGGGAAUUUACGAUAUUCCCGUUCGAUUAUUUAUUUUCACUGUCACGACUUCCUUUUAUAAUCGUCGAGAUAAGACACCAUUAUUUCUUACUUUAUAAUAUAAAGAAGAAAUUUUCGAGUAAAUAUUUGAUCAAGCCGAACAAUAUAUGUUUGGAUCAACGAUUUUUCUAUGUAUAAAUAAUUCUAAUUGGAAAAUAACCGAUGAUAAUCUUAGAAACUACUUUGCAACUCCUUUGUGAAACGCGAUACAUAUAUGAAAAUCCAGAGCAUCCAACUUUUUCCCUUUAUCUCUCUUUUCUUUAAUUUCUUCUGCCGAAGAGAAAGAAAGAAAGAAGAUAUAUUAUUUUUGCCAAUUAAAAAGCAGGGAAAAAGAAAAUAAGAGAAGAAAUAAAGGAGGUGACCUGUUUACAUAACAUUUUAAAGAGAUUUAACAAAGUCGUUAUUUUUUACAAUUAAUUCUUUCUUCUCGAUCCGAUCGAUCUUUUUUAGCAGAGAUACCGAUAUCGUACGUAAUUUGUAUAUAUUUUAAAUUUAUUAAAAUAUUUUUUUUCUUCUCCUUUACACGUUCGUUAACGUGAUAUAUUUCUCAAAUGGAAACAACGUGAUGCACGAUGGUUCGGUUUUACGUUUCGUCCCUACGGUUAAAAACUGUUUCGAUAAAAACGAGAAAACCUCGGAAGGCGGUCGUUAGAAAAAGUUAACGAGAAAAGGAGAUGAAUUUCACGUGAUUGUGCGUCGGAGAGUCUGGUAUUUUUUCUUUUUCUUUUUCUUUUUUUCUUUUUUCACACUACACUAUUCAUCUCGAUAUUUCACGGUAAAUUUACUUAAACUACUUUUAAUUCAAACGACUAGGUCGUUCUUAGUCAUUUCUGUGACGUAUUUGCAAGAUUAAAAGUGGUAUUUGGUAAUUUAUGACUUCUUAAGCAGGGAAAAGGAAAUUUUCGUUAAUGUUCCAGCUUUCUUGGAAAAUUUAUGGACUUUACCUUUUCGAAGUAAAUAGAAAGAAAAAAAAAAGAAAUCUUUGAUUACAUUUUCAUUUUUAUGGAAUAAAACUUGCCACAAUUUCUCACAAUUUCAACGAACAAAAAUAUUCUCAAACGUUUAAAAAAAGAAAUCGAUAUUUCUCUUAAAUUGAUUUACGAGUAAUAAAAAUUGAAUCCAAUUAUAUAAAAAUUCGCGCGAAAAGCGUUUGAAGCGUCGGAAUAUAUAUUAAAGGGCGGAUGUGGCGGUAAAUAACCGGUUUUUCGUCGCAUCAAUUGCACGACGACGACGACGACGACGACGAGGACGACGACGUGGCCACUCCUUGUCGCGUGAUUCGCGUUCCACGUACGAGAUAAUGGCAGCUGGCCAAAACAAUCGCCGGCUGCUAAAUUUCCAGUCAACAAACAUUGGACGUGGGCCAAGUGCUAUCCUGUCGCCGCCGCCGCCGCUGCUGCUAGUGCUGCUGCUUGCUCUUUGCUCCGAGAGAUACUUUUAUCCUAGGACCGUUGCCAUCAUCGUCGCCGCCGGCUUCUUGUCUCGAAAUCUCAACCAAGGGCCCCUCUCCGUCUUCUGAAUAAAUAAUCUCGUUUUUUCAGACAGGUUGAUUCAUGGUCCACCGUCCGUCUUAGCCACCACUGACGACGAGUAUUUUAACGUCGAUGCACAUUUAACGGUACAAAGUAAAAAAAAAAAAAAAAAAAAAAAAAAAAAAAAAGAAGCAAUAUAA